rnacentral:rRNA from 1 species
CCUACGGGUGGCAGCAGUGAGGAAUAUUGGUCAAUGGGCGCAAGCCUGAACCAGCCAAGUAGCGUGAAGGAAGAAUGCCCUACGGAUUGUAAACUUCUUUUAUCAAGGAAUAAAGUGAGCCACGUGUGGCUUUUGGAGAGUACUUGAAGAAUAAGCAUCGGCUAACUCCGUGCCAGCAGCCGCGGUAAUACGGAGGAUCCGAGCGUUAUCCGGAUUUAUUGGGUUUAAAGGGAGCGUAGAUGGGUUGUUAAGUCAGUUGUGAAAGUCUGCGGCUCAACCGUAAAAUUGCAAUUGAUACUGGCAGUCUUGAGUACAGUUGAGGUAGGCGGAAUUCGUGGUGUAGCGGUGAAAUGCUUAGAUAUCACGAAGAACUCCGAUUGCGAAGGCAGCUUACUAAACUGCCACUGACAUUGAUGCUCGAAAGUGUGGGUAUCAAACAGGAUUAGAUACCCGUGUAGUC